GUGAGUGUCAAUACCACCCUGAAUGUGCCCAAUCUCAUCUGGUCUCGGAAGCUAAGCAGGAUCGGGCCUGGUUAGUACUUGGAUGGGAGACCGCCUGGGAAUACCAAGUGCUGUAUAUA
rnacentral:rRNA from 1 species